GGACGCACAGACAGUGAACUAGAGAACCUGGGCGCUCUUCGAAGCGCAGAGCUGCUGGACCCUGAGGCAUAAGGAGCAGUCGGGUUAAACUGACUGUGCUCGGAGUCCACCGGCUCACCCAGGCGGAGCAGCAAACCUACGGCGGCUGGUGACGCGCGCGUUCCCCGCCCCCGGCCUCUCCCAUGGGUGGCGCUCGCUGGUGACGUACGGGUGUGAUGGCUGCCGCGAGGCCGGGAAGGUGAAGGAACAGGUGGAGUCAACACAAUCACUAGCCAACCCUGACCUGAAACAGCACAGAGGAGAACUCAAAUUCUUUUCAUCUUUUUGGCUUCAGCCAUGUCCACAAUGCCCACCCUGUAAAAGUCUCUUACCAUCUAAAAACUUCUCUGUUCGAGUUGUACCAGCAGAUGAUCGAUCUGUGGGUCUGUUUUAUUUUCCCUGCUAGGAGCUGGCUGUACAUAAAACUGGGUAAGGAGGUAGUGUGGAUUCAGGGACUGCUUGGGAUCCAAAUACACCUUGCAAUGGAUUUGCUGCUGCUGUGCCUACACCCCAAAUACCUAAUACUCCUCAGCUAAUGGCCUAGGUUGAGGCAAAGCUUCUGAUCACCUUGAAGUACUAAUAGCAGUUUCCAUUCAGAUUUGAGUUUGUUUCUGGUUGUAGGUUAGUAUCUGUGAGUACUGUGCUCCUGGCACUUUGGUGGGGGGGGUGGGGUGGAAGAAGACCCCAAGAUAAAUGAACUUUUCCUGAAGUGUGGACCUCAGAAUUUUAAAGCUUGUUACCAGAAGAUGAGUUUCUUCAUUGAAUACAUUUGUUUAAUGCUGAUCAAAUAUGGCUCCCCUACAUGUAAGCUGGCCUUCUUUCUCAAGCCUUCACUGUUCAUACGUGCCAGUGGAGGGCUCAGCAGCAUUCACAGAUUGUUUGUGGUGCGGAACCCUUUUUACAUGGAACACUGGAUGUAAGUAGAGUUUUGUGGACUGCACUUUGGAAAAUGCUGCUGUAAACUCUCUGAAACAUGAUCUUAAGACACUUUGAGGCUGUCACAAAAGCUUGGAGUAUGUCACUCUGUGUGUAAUUGAUGUUGGAAGUGGGCCUUGUGGUCCAGCUGUGCUUAGGGGACAGGUCCCACAUGCCUGUGGCAAGUGCUGUGAUGAUGUAGGUCUAUCAGGGCUUUCCAGAAGGGGAACAGGAAUCCAGCUGCUUCCCACAACUCUGGGAGGGUGGAGUACCAGCAGGCAAAGCCCGAGAUUCGGGGCGGGCCCUGUCUUGGCUUUUGUGCAUGUGUUUUCCAUCUUUGGUCUUUUUGUGCAUAUACAUCUAGUUUACUCUUUGGAAGGAUUAAAAUUUCAGAAUCUGAAAGGGUUGUCAAAAUCUUUUGACUCACCGAGCUCCAAAUACUUAACUGAAAACUGCUUUUUUUGAAAAAAGUAGGUUUGUGUAUCUAGGGAUGGAAGGUUUAAGAUGGUUCCCUUAGGUAUAUUUACUUACUCAUUCCAUAUCUGUCAUACUUGUGGAGGAGGAAAGUGGGAAUGGAAAGAGGUCAUUGCUCUGUCAAGUUUGGUAAGGUUGUGUGUCCUCUGUGGAUGGGGUGACAAUUGAGUUGUGUCUAGAAGGACAGUAAGAGUGUACCAAAUGAGUGAAAAAGGAAUGAGGAUUCCAGGCAGAAAGCAGGAUUAAAUGAGGAACCUCAGCUAGAGACUUAGCCAAGCUAGAGAAAUCAGACAACUUGGAGGAGCAGGUGGUAGUUUUCAUGAGAAUGUGGGGCAUGCAGCUGCAGGCUGGGUAGUGGUGAGAACAGGAUGACUCCCGACCAGCUGAACAUCCAGCAGACCUUUAGCCUCUAACCACUAAGCUUUUACUAGUGUGCACGCCCUUGAAUUUCACACUUACUGAACACUAAUGCUCUGGGUUCAUAUCCUUGGGGCUUGAAGACAACGAUCAGAGCUUAGAAGCACUUGCUUCUAAAGUUCAGCUGCUAUCAGGGAACUUGCUUCCUGCAAGCAAGUCACUUCUGAGUCUAGGCCCUGCUGACCUUCCCCAGCGGACAUGUUUACUCAAUCUCCAUGGUAGCGGGUGGGGGAAUAGUGGGUAUGUUGGUGGAGUUGCCUUUUCUGAAGGCUGGGUGUUCAUGGAAAAAGUCUUGCUGGUAGAGUUUAUCACUAUUGUUACUUUAAACCAUGUAGAGCUACCUUUGAGCACAUUGCUUGCAUCAUCACCAUUGGCCCACAUUUUUUUUUUGGUAUCUUACAUGUACACAUGAAAGAAACCAAGGCUGUGAGGUAAAAUAACUUGCUUACGUUUAUGCAGCCCACAAAGAGUACGAUCAUAAUUUAUACCCAGCACUUUCUGAUUCUAAGAUUUGUCACGUGCAGUCCUGUUGCACAUUGUACCAUGCUGUGUCUCAGACCCCUCUUUGUGGGUAGCUUUCCUCCUCUUCUGCCUGCCCACUCCCCAGAUCUCAGGGCACUCUUCUUUUCUGCUCGGGAGGAUCUGAGAGUCAUUUUAUUUUCAGUGCCCUUUCUCAGAGCUUUGCCGUGUGUCUUAGUUAAGAAAACAUGCCUUCUAGUUGUGGUGUUAUACUGAGGUGAAAGAUGGAAGCAAAUAGGGUCACUUCCUUUCCCCAUCCAUCAAGGAAUCUGAAACAGUGCAAAAGAAUGUGUAGAUUUGAGCAACAUGUGGAUUCCCGUCUCCUGUGGAGCUGUCUUUCUGCUCAUCUUUGGGGUGGUUGGUUCCUAAGAGGUAGUUCUGGCAUUCAGUCUUCAUGCAUUUUUUCUGGACGUUCUUUCUGCUUCUCAGGACUUUGUUUAUAACCUUUGGCACUAUUUGGAAGUUUCUUUUGUGUGGUUGCUCAUGAACACCUUCUCCUUUCCCACUAGAGAAGUGGGUCAGAGGCCAAUGGCCCUGUGAUGAGGAUGACUAGGGAGGGUGGGACAGAAUCAGGCACACACAGCUGUGCAUGCUUCCCUCUCCCCCAAUCCAGGGAGGGGUCCUUUCCCUUUUACUUGCCAGGAUCUGCAGGCUGUGCUGGGGAAGUAGUUUUCUCCAUGUUUGGAGCUCAAAGGAGGAUCUGGCAGGCUCCACUUUUGGAUGCAGGGGUUCACAGCUAUACCUGGGAGCCACUUUCUCUAGUAUGCCUGCCUCUUUUGACUUUUGAGGAAAGGCCUCUAGGACUCUGGAGUCAAGUCUCAUAGCCCCUAACAUUUUAUUGCUAUGUGAUGAA